GCCAGACUCCUACGGGAGGCAGCAGUGGGGAAUAUUGCACAAUGGGGGAAACCCUGAUGCAGCGACGCCGCGUGAGUGAAGAAGUAUUUCGGUAUGUAAAGCUCUCUCAGCAGGGAAGAAAAUGACGGUACCUGAUUAAGAAGCCCCGGCUAACUACGUGCCAGCAGCCGCGGUAAUACGUAGGGGGCAAGCGUUAUCCGGAUUUACUGGGUGUAAAGGGAGCGUAGACGGUGAUGCAAGUCAGAAGUGAAAGCCCGGGGCUCAACUCCGGGACUGCUUUUGAAACUGUGUGACUGGAGUGCAGGAGAGGUAAGCGGAAUUCCUGGUGUAGCGGUGAAAUGCGUAGAUAUCAGGAGGAACACCAGUGGCGAAGGCGGCUUACUGGACUGUAACUGACGUUGAGGCUCGAAAGCGUGGGGAGCAAACAGGAUUAGAUACCCUCGUAU
rnacentral:rRNA from 1 species